rnacentral:rRNA from 1 species
AGAAUCAACGCUGGCGGCGUGCCUAAUACAUGCAAGUCGAACGCGAAAGUCCCGCAAGGGAUGAGUAGAGUGGCAAACGGGUGAGUAACACGUGGGUGACCUGCCUUCGAGCGGGGGAUAACGUCCCGAAAGGGACGCUAAUACCGCAUAACAUCCUGCCUUUGAAGAGGUGGAGAUCAAAGCCGGGGAUUCGCAAGAACCUGGCACUUGAAGAGGGGCCCGCGUCCGAUUAGCUAGUUGGUGGGGUAAUGGCUCACCAAGGCUACGAUCGGUAACCGG